GAUUAUAUUUUGAGAUUGUAUUCUAUAUUGAGUUAUAUUUUAGGUGGAGUAUGUAUAGACUAAAAGAAAGUGGUAAUGAGAUGUACCUCAAACUUAAUGUAAAGGUAUGGAUGUUGAAGGAAGCUUAGUGUUGCUUUUCAACCAAGUUAAACGAGUGGAACUUGACUCUACUUUAUGAUUGUGUCGAUUAUUGGCUAGUGUAAGUAUGGUAUUUGCUUUACAUAA
rnacentral:lncRNA from 1 species